rnacentral:rRNA from 1 species
UCAUUAGCGAGGAAAAGAAACCAACAGGGAUUGCCUUAGUAGCGGCGAGUGAAGCGGCAAAAGCUCAAAUUUGAAAUCUGGCGCCUUCGGUGUCCGAGUUGUAAUUUGAAGAUUGUAACCUUGGGGUUGGCUCUUGUCUAUGUUUCUUGGAACAGGACGUCACAGAGGGUGAGAAUCCCGUGCGAUGAGAUGCCCAAUUCUAUGUAAGGUGCUUUCGAAGAGUCGAGUUGUUUGGGAAUGCAGCUCUAAGUGGGUGGUAAAUUCCAUCUAAAGCUAAAUAUUGGCGAGAGACCGAUAGCGAACAAGUACAGUGAUGGAAAGAUGAAAAGAACUUUGAAAAGAGAGUGAAAAAGUACGUGAAAUUGUUGAAAGGGAAGGGUUUGAGAUCAGACUCGAUAUUUUGUGAGCCUUGCCUUCGUGGCGGGGUGACCCGCAGCUUAUCGGGCCAGCAUCGGUUUGGGCGGUAGGAUAAUGGCGUAGGAAUGUGACUUUACUUCGGUGAAGUGUUAUAGCCUGCGUUGAUGCUGCCUGCCUAGACCGAGGUGCUGCAG